UCUAACUUUGGCUUUUCAUUUGCAUCCGGUGCUGUCGGCCAACUUGUUGGACAAUAUGCAAAAUUGUUGGGUUGUUACGUAGUUGGAAGUGCUGGAAGUAAAGAAAAGGCUAGCCAGGAGUAUAAUAAUUGAAGAUGGCAUUGAACCCAGGCUUACAUGAAAUGAUGAUAGACCCCAUUUUGUCUGUACAUCUGGUGAAGAGGGUCAAAUAAAAUAUAGUUUGUUGCCUUACUCUUGGAAUUAGAACCUAUUUGUAACCUGCAAAAUGGCUUAUUUGGCAUCAAACUUUCUCUAUGUACAAUUUUAUCUAAAGAAAAGUGCUUAAUUACUCAUAUUACAUGAAGUAUUGUUAAUGCAUUCAUGCCAAAAUUUAUUGGAAUUACUAA